rnacentral:rRNA from 1 species
GGCUCAGGAUGAACGCUGGCGGCGUGCCUAAUACAUGCAAGUCGAGCGGACCAAAGGGAGCUUGCUCCUGGAGGUUAGCGGCGAACGGGUGAGUAACACGUGGGCAACCUGCCUGUAAGACUGGGAUAACAUCGAGAAAUCGGUGCUAAUACCGGAUAAUAAAAAGAACUGCAUGGUUCUUUUUUGAAAGAUGGUUUCGGCUAUCACUUACAGAUGGGCCCGCGGCGCAUUAGCUAGUUGGUGAGGUAACGGCUCACCAAGGCAACGAUGCGUAGCCGACCUGAGAGGGUGAUCGGCCACACUGGGACUGAGACACGGCCCAGACUCCUACGGGAGGCAGCAGUAGGGAAUCUUCCGCAAUGGACGAAAGUCUGACGGAGCAACGCCGCGUGAGUGAUGAAGGUUUUCGGAUCGUAAAACUCUGUUGUUAGGGAAGAACAAGUGCCGUUCGAAAGGGCGGCACCUUGACGGUACCUAACGAGAAAGCCACGGCUAACUACGUG